rnacentral:rRNA from 1 species
AGACGUCUACAUUAGAUACCCCCGUAGUCCCAGCCGUAAACUAUGCGCGUUAGGUGUAUCGGUGACCACGAGUCACCGAGGUGCCGAAGGGAAACCGUGAAACGUGCCGCCUGGGGAGUACGGUCGCAAGGCUGAAACUUAAAGGAAUUGGCGGGGAGCACCACAACGGGUGGAGCCUGCGGUUUAAUUGGACUCAACGCCGGGAAGCUCACCGGAUAAGACAGCGGAAUGAUUGCCGGGCUGAAGACUCUGCAUGACUAGCUG